CGCACCGCUCCUUCUCAAGGGUAGUUCGUAGCAUGAGCGUGAGAAUAACCAUGAUCAGGUAGUCAAGCGGACAGAAUGCAGACAUAAAAACAGCUGGUUUCCCGUGACCAGUACUCCGCCUGAAGACCAGCUUGAGGUAUCCAUUUCUACACGAAAAGGGUUUAACUUUGCAGGAUGAUUUCAUUCAAGACCGUUAUUGUCUGCUUGUUUCUGUGGGUAGUCAUCAUUGGCGCUCGCCACCGCCCUGUGAAAUUGGAUGAUGAGAUAUUCAGGGAUUACCACAUAGACAUUGACCCGAGUAAAUCGUCAUGUCGAUGUGAUGAUGACGGCGCUGAGGGAUCGGGGACUGUUUGGUAUGGAAACUGCCCAUCUGGAUGGGCGAUGUGUACUAGCUCACACUACUCUGCGUUUGCAGAAUGUUGCAAACAAUAGAGAUACAGGGGGCAAGGCAUUCUAGAUCAAUCCUGAAGGAGAGGAUCCCCUCUUCCCUGUGUCCGUCACUGAUUGUUAGAUAUUCAUGUUAGAAAAGCAUUCAUGCACGGAACAGAGCUAUACGUUGCGGUUUGUUUGAUAUUAUUUGUCUAGUUUUUUUUAAGUGCCUACCUUUUUUUAACCUUCGGUUUGGGUACAGAAAUGUCUGUUGUUAUACAGAGUUGAAUAAAGUGCAUAGAAUGUACACCGUAUACCCAAACUGCUAUGAACGAGACCCUGGAUGAAAUAAAACUACUUUGCAAUAA